AUCCAGCUGAGGAGUCCCAAAUAGGACGAAAUACACUUCAAACUGGAU
rnacentral:hammerhead_ribozyme from 1 species